AAUGCUGCUGCUGCUGCUGCCGGGGCGGGCCCCCGCCCGGGAGGGAGGAGACUCCGCGCUCCGAGAACGUGCACCAGUGGCCGCGCGCUCCCGCCGAGCAUCCCUCGGGCCGGGCUCGCCGCGCCGGGCGCUCCAGUUGAAAGAAUUUGUGGAAGACUAGUUAUUUCUUUAUGGGAGCAGUAUCAAGACUGAAAGGAUAUAAUGCCACUAUGAAAACUCUUUUUCUCUUUUAACUUAUAAAGUGAGUGUAUUUGAUCUCUCACUCAGAGAAAGUCAAACUUAAAACUCCAGAAUGCCAUUUUUACACAGACAAGGUGGAUGAGGUCAUAUCUUGUACUGGACCAACUUCUGCUGGUGAGAGAGACAACCUUUCAAGCCACACAGAGCUCUUCAUAGUCAAACUGCAGUUUGGCUAUUACAAAGACUGUAGUAGGCACUCAGCAUGUGUCUCUAUCCAAUCCCCAAGUAUCGGACAAUAACCCAAAAUGAGAACGAGAAGAAAAUGAAGAUUACAGAAAGCUUCAGGUUCUCUCAUAUUAAUUUCUUGAACACAAUACAGAUAGUGGGCAUUAUAACAAAAAGAAGUCAAGGCCCACGCUUUCAAUAAUAGCUACCAAAUACGCGUCCAACCUGGGUCAGGUUUUUUGUAGGGAAUGGGAAGGAGGGAUAUUUUCUUUUGUUUUUUAGAUGCUGAGCACAAGUAGCUUCCACUGAGUUCAGCUGGAGUUGUGGAUGCUGAGCACUUUUGAAAAUCAACUUUGGACUUUCAGAAAUAAAGACACCCAAAAUCAACGGCUGCUGUAAAAAAUGCGACCCAAGUGACUUUUCCGUGGCCACACAGCAAAUCAGUGACUAUCAAGUGGCUAUCAAGAUGGAAAUUAACUCCCUGAAUAUUCUUAAAACAGAUCUUCAAAGCUUAUUUAAUUGACAACCUGUUAUAUCUUCACUGCUCAAGAUUAGCAUUCCCACAGGAUUCUGCAUUUAUUUGCUGGUUUUACUGUAUGCAUACACAGUUUGUGCUUUAAUUGAGAGAUGCUUCAGUUGAAUGUGCCUGAACAAUUAACUUGUCAGGCCAGCAUGGAUAGUGGACUUUCAUCCCAGAGAAAAGGAAUAAAUCUUGCCUUGACCUUUA